GGCCUCGCCGUUGUCGUUCCCGUAUCUGCCCUCACCCGAAACCUAAUGUGCACGCAAUCUUCGUGUCGCUUCUUCCUUGUGUUCCAUGUCGGCGGCUAGGCCCUCUGGUCCGGCUGUCCCUGGUUUUCUCUACCGCCAACGCCUCAAUUCUGCCCCUCCCCCACACAUCCCUCCCUCUCACGACCGUCACAGCCAUCAUCGCGGUGUCAGUCAACUCCUGCCCCGACCUCCAUCAUGUAUUUGUAGAAGAUGGUGACGCGUGAUGAGUGGCUCAAGGUCCGCAAGGAGGGGAUGAAAUUCCUCAUCACGUUGGACUUCAUCGACGCCGCGGACAGGGUCUCCAUCCGGUACCCAACGUGAAGUAUGCCCAUGCCUACACGCUGACAUAUAUCCCCUCUCACACAUGCGUUUCUCCUAGAGUAGUACUGCUGCGGACAUUUGGCUCUAACUGAAGUGUGAUUUAUGUGGUUUUGUUUGCAGCGGACAUUGGGUUCAGAUUUCAGACGGAGAACUUUAGGAGACUAUCGACAGGACCAACGAUCUUAACCCCACUGUUCGGUUCUGAUUCUGUUUCUCCUAAUUUUGGUUUGUAUUUCGGUGUUUUGUUAUAGAAAAAGUCGAUGGAGGAGGAGUAAUAUCUUACAAUUUUGGCUAACUUUGUUGUACGCCAACAUAAUUUUUCUUUGUAUCUGAAAAUUUCAGGGAGAACACAGAAGCAUUCGCGCCUCAUGAUUUCUGCAUCAUACUUAACGAACUUCAAAUUACUGAUCUUUGUAAUCAAUCUUUU
rnacentral:lncRNA from 1 species